GCGAAAGUGGCGGAACCGGCAGACGCGCACGUUUGAGGGGCGUGUGGUAUUACACCGUACGGGUUCAAGUCCCGUCUUUCGCACCA
rnacentral:tRNA from 1 species